GACGAACGCUGGCGGCGUGCUUAACACAUGCAAGUCGAACGGAAAGGCCCUGCUUUUGUGGGGUUCUCGUUUGGCGAACGGGUGAGUGACACGUGAGUAUCCUCCCCUUGACUUUCUGAUAACUUCAGGGAACUGGGGCUAUUACCGGAUAGGAGCUCCUGCUGCAUGGUGGGGGUUGGAAAGUUUCGGCGGUGGGGGCUGGACUCGAGGCUUCUGAGCUUGUUUGUGUGGUAGUUGCGUACCAAGGCUUUGACGGGUAGCCGGCCUGAGAGGGUGAACGGCCACAUUGGGACUGAGAUACGGAGCAGACUCCUACGGGAGGCAGCAGUGGGGAGUAUGGCGCAGUGGGCGGAAGCCUGAUGUAGAAACGCCGCGUGCGUGAUGCCGGCCUUCGGGUUGUAAACCGCUUUCGACUGUGACGAAGCGUGCGUGACGGUAAUGGGUCAAGAAGCACCGGCUAACUACGUG
rnacentral:rRNA from 1 species